UACGUAUGGAGCAAGCGUUCUCCGGAUUUACUGGGUGUAAAGGGAGCGUAGACGGCCAGGCAAGUCUGAUGUGAAAGGUGGGGGCUCAACCCUCAAACUGCAUUGGAAACUGUCCGGCUGGAGUGUCGGAGAGGUAAGUGGAAUUCCUAGUGUAGCGGUGAAAUGCGUAGAUAUUAGGAGGAACACCAGCGGCGAAGGCGGCUUACUGGACGAUAACUGACGUUGAGGCUCGAAAGCGUGGGGAG
rnacentral:rRNA from 1 species